UAAUCCUUGCUCUCAUUUCUUGUAGUUGUCACCUCAGUUGUCACUACUACUGAGCCUCCAAAUGACUGUUUGAACGAUGGAAGCAAAGCCACUGGUAUUGAUUCUGAAAAAGCUUGUAAGAAAGAUCACAGUGAAGUCACUGUUACUGAUUCCAAAAAAGUUUGUCAGAAAGAUGAAAGCAAUUCACUGCAGCUACAGGUCAUGAACACCUCUGCCUACUACACCUACCUCCUCCUCCUCCUCAAGAGUUCCCUCUACUUCGCCAUCAUCAUCUGCUAUUUAGGAGAACAGUCUGCAGCAGUGGGAAGACCUCCUGAUAGAUGAUGCCACCAAGGGCUCAACUUCGCUUCAGCAUCAUUGUCUCUACAAGUGUCUGCUGAGGAUCUAGCUGGGCUUCCUUUCUGGGUUUGGCUUCUUUCAGAGAAUAUGUACAUCUUUGUAUUAUAUCAUUAUAGUGUAAGGAUUUUUCAAUCCAAUGGCCAAACAGAACACUGUACUGUUUAACAAGGAAUCCUGCCAUGACUCAGGGCAGGGCUGAGGGCUGGUCCACGAGAGCCUUUCCCACCACUGUCCCUCAGUGUCAGCAGCUCCUCCAGCCACUAAAUCUUUCACCUCCUGAGCACACACAGCACAGCACACGGUUCCUCGUCUCCUCCCUCAGGGCUUCCACCAGACCACGGCCCUGAGCUUCCCUGUACACACCGUGGAGCCCCAGCUUUGCUGCUUGAAUUCUGUCCUUUGAUUUUUCAUGAUAGGCACAAUCAAUUAAAAAGAUAUCCAACCUCC
rnacentral:lncRNA from 1 species